rnacentral:rRNA from 1 species
UGGGGAAUCUUGGACAAUGGGGGCAACCCUGAUCCAGCCAUGCCGCGUGCGUGAAGAAGGUCUUAGGAUUGUAAAGCGCUUUCAGCGGGGGAAGAUAAUGACGGUAGCAGGUAAAGAAACCCCGGCUAACUCCGUGCCAGCAGCCGCGGUAAUACGGAGGGGGUUAGCGUUGUUCGGAAUUACUGGGCGUAAAGCGCACGUAGGCGGACCAGAAAGUUGGGGGUGAAAUCCCGGGGGCUCAACCCCGGAACUGCCUCCAAAACUAUUGGUCUAGAGUUCGAGAGAGGUGAGUGGAAUUCCAAGUGUAGAGGUGAAAUUCGUAGAUAUUUGGAGGAACACCAGUGGCGAAGGCGGCUCACUGGCUCGAUACUGACGCUGAGGUGCGAAAGUGUGGGGAGCAAACAGGAUUAGAUACCCUGGUAGUCCACACCGUAAAACGAUGAAUGCCAGUCGUCGGGUAGCAUGCUAUUCGGUGACACACCUAACGGAUUAAGCAUUCCGCCUGGGGAGUACGGU